rnacentral:rRNA from 1 species
UACGAAGGGGGCUAGCGUUGCUCGGAAUUACUGGGCGUAAAGCGCACGUAGGCGGCUUCUUAAGUCGGAGGUGAAAUCCUGGAGCUCAACUCCAGAACUGCCUUCGAUACUGGGAGCUCGAGUCCGGGAGAGGUGAGUGGAACUGCGAGUGUAGAGGUGAAAUUCGUAGAUAUUCGCAAGAACACCAGUGGCGAAGGCGGCUCACUGGCCCGGUACUGACGCUGAGGUGCGAAAAGCGUGGGGGAGCAAACAGGG